rnacentral:rRNA from 1 species
UACGGGGGGGUAAGCGUUGUUCGGAAUUACUGGGCGUAAAGGGCUCGUAGGCGGCCAACUAAGUCAUACGUGAAAUCCCUCAGCUUAACUGGGGAACUGCGUGUGAUACUGGAUGGCUUGGAUUUGGGAGAGGGAUGCGGAAUUCCAGGUGUAGCGGUGAAAUGCGCAGAUAUCAGGAGGAACACCUGAGGCGAAGGCGGAUUGCUGGGCUGACACUGACGCUGAGGCGCGAAAGCUAGGGUAGCAAACGGG